AAACUUUCAACAACGGAUCUCUUGGUUCUGGCAUCGAUGAAGAACGCAGCAAAAUGCGAUAAGUAAUGUGAAUUGCAGAAUUCAGUGAAUCAUCGAAUCUUUGAACGCACAUUGCGCCCGCCAGUAUUCUGGCGGGCAUGCCUGUUCGAGCGUCAUUUCAACCCUCAAGCUC
rnacentral:rRNA from 2 species